rnacentral:rRNA from 1 species
AUUGAACGCUGGCGGCAGGCCUAACACAUGCAAGUCGAACGAGUGGCGGACGGGUGAGUAAUGUCUGGGAAACUGACUGAUGGAGGGGGAUAACUACUGGAAACGGUAGCUAAUACCGCAUACCAUCGGAUGUGCCCAGAUGGGAUUAGCUGGGAGGUGGGGUCACGGCUCACCUAGUCGACGAUCCCUAGCUGGUCUGAGAGGAUGACCUGCCAAACUGGAACGGCGCCACGGUCCAGACUCCUUCGGGAGGCAGCAGUGGGGAAUAUUGCACAAUUGGCGCAAGCCUGAUGCAGCCAUGCCGCGUGUAUGAAGAAGGCCUUCGGGUUGUAAAGUACUUUCAGCGGGGAGGCGUUACCCGCAGAAGAAGCACCGGCUAACUCCGUGCCAGCAGCCGCGGUAAUUC